rnacentral:sRNA from 1 species
CUGGUUUCUGCAGCUCUGGGCUGGCAGGCUGCUGCUGACGUCUAUUCUCCUGCAAGGCUUUCUCCCGCUGCUCAUAGAAGUCAAAGUCUUCAAGAAUGUUCGUCUCCGAUUCAUGGUUCUUGAAGAUAGUUAACAUCUGCAGACCAUACAGCUUUUUUACCUCCUGGGUGUCCCUGCUAUUAGUUACAGGUUUGUUGUCAUUGUUCUCAAGAAUGAUGUGCCGCAGCAGGUUGUUCGGGACAUCCUUAAUAAUGUGCCACUUCACAGGGAACUGGCCACUCCACUUGUCCUGCUGCCAAUAAUCGACACUUUUGUCAAAAUCGACGGGUCCAAUCAUCUCAGCUACACCACAGAACUGACCACUGCCAUUAACCUGCAAAAAACGAGAAAAAUAGGGCAAUAGUCUUCUUUUUCUUUGGCCAAGCGAUAAGCAGAAUCCAGCUUUCUAUUCCCACUAGCUGUACUGGCCCAAACAUUGUACUUAAUGCUCCUAUGUACAUGGUCCUCAGUGUAGGACUUUA